AACGCACCUUGCGCUCCUUGGUAUUCCGAGGAGCAUGCCUGUUUGAGUAUCAUGAAAUUCUCAAUCCUGUUUUUAGCUCUUGCAGCUGGUUCAGGCUUGGAUUGUGGGAGGUUUUUGUGGGCUUCGCACUAGAAGUCGGCUCUCCUAAAAUGCAUUAGCGUAGAACCAUCUUUGCGGUAUUUUGGCGUGAUAAUUAUCUAUGCCAUGGUCUGCGAAGUGUCGGUUUGGCUUCCAAUCGUCUCAGUGAGACAACAAACUUUCAUGACCUUUUUUUUGAUCUCAAAUCAGGUAGGACUACCCGCUGAACUUAA
rnacentral:misc_RNA from 1 species